rnacentral:rRNA from 1 species
UUUCCAGAGAUGGACUGGUGCCUUCGGGAACUGUGAGACAGGUGCUGCAUGGCUGUCGUCAGCUCGUGUUGUGAAAUGUUGGGUUAAGUCCCGCAACGAGCGCAACCCUUAUCCUUUGUUGCCAGCGAUUAGGCCGGGAACUCAAAGGAGACUGCCAGUGAUAAACUGGAGGAAGGUGGGGAUGACGUCAAGUCAUCAUGGCCCUUACGACCAGGGCUACACACGUGCUACAAUGGCGCAUACAAAGAGAAGCGACCUCGCGAGAGCAAGCGGACCUCAUAAAGUGCGUCGUAGUCCGGAUUGGAGUCUGCAACUCGACUCCAUGAAGUCGGAAUCGCUAGUAAUCGUGGAUCAGAAUGCCACGGUGAAUACGUUCCCGGGCCUUGUACACACCGCCCGUCACACCAUGGGAGUGGGUUGCAAAAGAAGUAGGUAGCUUAACCUUCGGGAGGGCGCUUACCACUUUGUGAUUCAUGACUGGGGUGAAGUCGUAACAAGGUAACCGUAGGGGAACCUGCGGUUGGAUCACCUCCUUACCUUAAAGAA